UACGUAGGUGGCAAGCGUUGUCCGGAUUUACUGGGCGUAAAGAGCGCGCAGGCGGCUGGUCAAGUCCGAUGUGAAAUCUCCCGGCUUAACUGGGAAACUGCAUCGGAAACUGAUCGGCUUGAAGGUGGGAGAGGGUAGUGGAAUUCCCGGUGUAGUGGUGAAAUGCGUAGAUAUCGGGAAGAACACCCGUGGCGAAGGCGGCUCUCUGGGACGGUACUGACGCUGAGACGCGAAAGCGUGGGGAGCGAACAGG
rnacentral:rRNA from 1 species